rnacentral:rRNA from 1 species
UACGUAGGGGGCUAGCGUUGUCCGGAUUUAUUGGGCGUAAAGAGCGUGUAGGCGGCCAGGUAGGUCUGCUGUGAAAACUCGAGGCUCAACCUCGAGACGUCGGCGGAAACCAUCUGGCUAGAGUCCGGAAGAGGAGAAUGGAAUUCCUGGUGUAGCGGUGAAAUGCGCAGAUAUCAGGAAGAACACCCGUGGCGAAAGCGGCUCUCUGGAACGGUACUGACGCUGAGACGCGAAAGCGUGGGGAGCGAACAGG